GAGCCAGAAAUACAUGGGGAACCAUAGACAUGGCCUGAAAAGGGAAACAGAUCGAAAAAAGGAUAAUCCACAAAAUUUGCUACAUAUAAAGCCAAGCUCUAAUGAAAUGAGCCACUGUAGCACUCCAUUAUUUAUAGAAUUGACGCGGAGACAUGAAACGUUGCAGAAAAGUUCAAGACGGGAUCAUCUUUCACAGGUACAAAGCACUGCAGAUCUUUCAUGGUCAAGCAUUAUGUAGUGCGAUACUUUACCAGUGCAGUAGAAAAUGGUGUCUACAUUUUCCUUUGAACCAUCUUUGAACACCGCUUGGUGUUCUCUGAGCUGUACAACGUCUGGUUUCUAGUUUUGAUAGUAAUUUGAAUUACACAUACAAUUAAGGUUUAAAUAAUGACAAGUGCAGUACAUCUGAAAUAUUUGUAAGUGAUUACUUGUAUGACGUUGCUGGGAAACUUGUAACAUUUGAUGACUUAAACAACCAGUGUAGAGCUAUUUCCACAAGUACCUGAUGGUCCAGCGCCAAAAACCACGACUUUUUUACCAGCAAAGGUUUCCGGUACUCUGUAAUCGUGGCUAUGCAAUACACGUCCUUUGAAUGAAGUGUGACCCUCAAGUUCAGAUCCUCAACCUCCACUGACCACUUGCCCAUAUUAUCACCAUCCAAUGGUUUGACUAGUACCACAUGAUGAUGAAACUGUAAUUCGAUGUAAAAGGAAAGAUUAGCUCUGACAAAUAUUCAUCGGGAUUAAUUCAAUAUUUUCAGCGGUCUUUCAAUGGGAGAGAUAAAGGAAACAAUGAAGACUGCAGUGUGUUUGAUGGGAAGUAGCAAGAAAUACAUUCCAGAAAAGAGGGAAUGUGUCUGAUAACAAGGUCGUUCACUCAGGGCAAUCACCAAUACGGGAAUGUAGCAAAUGAGCUAUGUAUUCAUUGUUUGAAUACAAAGAUUUUUCUUUAUUCUUCUUAUGUAUACAACAUUGAAAAAUUCACGGCUAAUCAUUUUCACAUUUAAUGUUUCCUUGAAAAAUCCUUUUGUGACUCUACUAACUUCCAUUGAUCGAACAGAUGUUUGUUAGUACUUAUUCAUUCAAAAUUUAUCUGUUAUAUCAUUACAUUUUCAAACAAAUUAAGCUGUCGUAUAGCAAAAUAAAUCUAACAAUUAUUUUAUAAACAAAAUACUUUAUUUUUCAUAAUUACAGAAAUAAUUGAUUAGUCGUAGAAAAUAUGCGUCAUCUCAACAUGAAAUAAUUUACUUCUUGUUAAUAUACAUAAUCUAAUACUCAUAUAUCAAGGCAGUAAUCAUUUUACUAUGGUUUUCUUUCGAAAUUCUUCUUUUAUCUCAACUCAACUAGUUCUAAACGAAUUCACAGAAACAAUAGUUGCAUAGUUGGUGGUUAAACAAAUCAAGGUCCUAUUUGUAUUUACGGAAUUAGUCUGUGAUGGACAAGACAGCACCCAGUAGAGAGAAAUUCAGAAAAGCUGUUAGCAUUUUAUUGCAGGUGUGAAUAUUUUAUUGGAUAUCUAAGGGGGUUACGAAUUCUUUUCAACUAAUUAGAUUAAG